rnacentral:rRNA from 1 species
AUGGCGCCCCGCUGGUGGCUGCUGAUUCUCUUCCUCGGCGGCAGCGUACUCCAAGCUAGCUCCCAGCCUAAUAGCAGAGGUUUCAUCAGCAUAGACUGCGGGCUAAUGGGAGAGGAGAGCUAUGUCGACGACGAGACGAACCUGUUAUACGUCUCGGACGCCGGCCUCACCGACACCGGCACGCCUUACGACAUCUCGGCGGAGUACUACCGGCCGUGGCGCUCCAGGAACGUCCGCAGCCUGCGGAGUUUCCCCGAUGGUGCGCGCAACUGCUACACGCUACGAUCCCUAGUGUCCGGCCUUAAGUACCUCUUCCGCGCCACGUUUCUCUAUGGCAACUACGAUGGCCUUAACAAGCCACCAGCGUCGUUCGACCUCUACAUCGGCGUCAACUUCUGGACGGUGGUGAACAUGUCGUGGUGGGGGUCGGACCAGGAUAACACGGCGGAGGUGGAGGCCAUCGUAGUCGUGCCACACGACUUGGUGCAGGUGUGCCUGGUGAACACCGGCGGCGGGACGCCCUUCAUCUCUGGGCUGGAGCUGAGGCCGCUGAAGAUGUCGCUCUACCCACAGGCAACGGCGGAGCUGGGCCUGUUCUUGCUGACCAGGCAAAACUUUGGCGCGAUAAACGAAACAAUCAUCAGGUUCCCCGAUGAUCCAUACGACCGGAUAUGGGACACUUGGUCCCGCCCCACAGUCUGGAAGGAGAUGUCCACGACCGAGAGGGUGGACAGCUUCGACGGCGACUACUUCGAGGCGCCCAUGGCGGUGCUGCAGACGGCGAUCAUGCCGCUGAACGACUCCGGGAGCAUCAGGUUCGGCUGGAAAGCGGAGCCCCAGCCCAACAAUCCGUCGCCAGGGUACCUCGCCGUCUUGCACUUCGUCGAGCUGCAGGUCCUCGCCGGGAACGCCUUGCGCCAUUUCAACAUCAGUCUCAACAACGACCAAAACUGGUUCCCGGGCUACACGCCACCAGGCUAUCUAAAAAGAGGGUAUGUGCACAGUAGCUUUACCUACCCGCGCGAGAGCAGCUACCUCUUCACCAUCAAGGCCACAGCCAAUUCCACGCUGCCGCCCAUCAUCAACGCCUACGAGGUGUUUUCUGUCAUCACCACCACCAACGUUGGUACAGAAUCCCAGGAUGCAUCGGCUGCCAUGGCAAUCAAGGCCAGGUACAAGGUGCAGAAGAACUGGAUGGGUGAUCCGUGCUUUCCCAAGACUAUGACGUGGGAUAGUCUGAACUGCAGCUAUGCCACUGCCAGCCCUCCAAGGAUCACAAGCAUAAAUCUGUCCUCCAGCGGCCUGAAUGGUGAUAUAUCGUCUUCUUUUGCAAAUCUCAAGGUCCUCCAAUACUUGAAUUUGUCAAACAAUAACUUGACGGGCGCUAUUCCAGAUGCCCUUUCACAAUUACAAUCAUUGACAGAUAUAGAUUUGUCUGGCAACCAGCUCAAUGGAUCGAUUCCCUCUGGACUUCUCAAAAGAAUUCAAGAUGGCUCCCUGAAUCUAAGACAGGGCAACAAUCCAAACCUUUGUAUUGGUGACAAUUCAUGUCAGCUUGCUGCCAAAACGAAGAGCAAACUGGCAAUCUACGUUAUUCUCCCCUUACUUGUCAUUCUGGUGAUAGUAUCUGUGGUCGUCCUAGUUUUUUUCUUUCAAAGACGACGAAAGCAGCAGCAAGGAUCAAUGAACAAUAGGACCAUGAUAAAGCCACAGAACGAGGAGGAAAUGUCAACGAGCCAUGGUGGUGCUAGUGAUUCGCUGUGGCUAGUCGAGAACCGCCGGUUCACAUACAGGGAACUCGAGAUGAUAACCAAUGGCUUCGAGCGGGUGCUUGGCCAAGGAGGGUUUGGCCGCGUCUAUGAUGGCUUCCUGGAGGACGGUACUCAAGUGGCGGUGAAGUUGCGGUCCCAUUCCUCCAAACAAGGUGUCAAGGAGUUCCUCACAGAGGCUCAAAUUCUAACCCGGAUUCAUCACAAGAAUCUUGUAACUAUGAUUGGUUACUGCAAGGAUGGGGAGUAUAUGGCUCUUGUGUAUGAGUACAUGUCACAAGGAACCCUGCAAGAGCACAUUGCUGGAAGCGAGCGAAGUUUACGUUGGAGGCAGAGGCUUCGGAUUGCACUUGAAUCUGCACAAGGGUUAGAGUAUCUGCACAAGGGGUGCAACCCGCCUCUUAUCCAUAGGGAUGUCAAGGCCACCAACAUCUUAUUGAAUGCUCAACUAGAGGCCAAGAUCGCAGAUUUUGGCCUGUCCAAGGCGUUUGAUCACCACAAUGGAAACUACAUUUCAACAAAUACAAUUGUUGGUACACCCGGAUAUGUUGAUCCAGAAUACCAGGCGACGGUGCAACCCACAACCAAGAGCGAUGUGUACAGCUUUGGUGUGGUAUUGCUAGAGCUGGUCACCGGGAAGCCGGCCAUCCUCUCGGAGCCAGAACCCAUGAACAUUAUUCAUUGGGUGCGACAGCGGCUAGCGAGAGGCAACAUGGAGGGUGUGGUGGACACACGAAUGCAUGGCGGUUACAAUAUCAAUGUCGUUUGGAAGGUGGCGGAGAUCGCACUCAAAUGCACUGCACAGGAAUCAGCGCAGCGGCCCACCAUUGCUGAUGUUGUGGUGCAACUACAGGAGUGCUUGGAGCUCGAGGAGGGUCGCACCCGUGACUUCAGCACUGGCGGUGGCAACAAUGAUUACUCGAGCUGGAAUUAUAAUGCUUAUGGCAGUGGGCAAUCCACUGAUGUGAGCAAGAAUGCUGCAUUUGGGACGGAAUUGAGGAUGCCAACAGUGGGCCUCGGUCUAGCUCCUGCUGCACGUUGA